CGGAUAUUGCAUGUUUAAGUUAGUUUAAAACAAGUAAUUUCCUGUCGCCAGCAGGUGGCGGUAUGAUUAUAACUGAAAUAUUGGCCUUAAGAUCUGUUGAGACUAGGAAUCUUAUCAAACAUGUGAAGUUUAGGGCAGAUCAGACAUUUCAUGUUUAAGUUAGUUUAAAAUAAGUCAUUUCCUGUUGCCAGCAGGUGGCGCUAUGACUAUAACUGAAUUUGGUCAUGAGUGUUUGUUCAGGACAGAACACCUAUCACACAUGUGAAGUUUGGGGCAGAUCGGACAUUGCUUGCCUGAGUUACAGCAACUUCCUGUUUCA
ensembl:lncRNA